GCCGGGCGCCGUGGCUGGUGCCUGUGAUCCCAGUGGCGGGGGAGGCUGAGGCCGGCGGAUCGCUUCAGCUCAGGAGUUCUGGGCUGCAGCAGGCUGUGCCGAGCAGGUGUCCGCACUGAGUUCGGCAUCGAUAUGGGGAUCCCGGGGAAGCUCGGGGUCCCUGGGUUGCCUAAGGAGGGGUGAACCGGCCGAGGUCGGAAACGGAGCAGGUCAAAACUCCCGUGCCGAUCAGUAGUGGGAUCGCGCCUGUGAAUGGCCCCUGCAGCGUAGCCUGGGCGAGACAGUGAGACCCGGUCUCUU
ensembl:misc_RNA Metazoa_SRP Metazoan signal recognition particle RNA